rnacentral:rRNA from 1 species
CACGUAGGGUGCGAGCGUUGUCCGGAAUUAUUGGGCGUAAAGAGCUCGUAGGCGGUGUGUCGCGUCGGCCGUGAAAACCUGCAGCUUAACUGUGGGCUUGCGGUCGAUACGGGCAUCACUGGAGUUCGGCAGGGGAGACUGGAAUUCCUGGUGUAGCGGUGAAAUGCGCAGAUAUCAGGAGGAACACCGUGGCGAAGGCGGGUCUCGUGGGCCGAUACUGACGCUGAGGAGCGAAAGCGUGGGGAG